AUUCCAGCUCUGUAAGCGUAUACCAAAGUUGUUGCAGUUAAAACGCUCGUAGUCGGACGUUGGCGGGCGCCUCGAGUCGGCCUCACGGUCGAUCUUGUUGGCGACCGCCUUUGUGGAGGGGGGCUUAGGUCGGUGCUUUAUUGUCAUCCCUUUGUCGCUGCCACCGUUUACUGUGAAAAAAUUAGAGUGUUCAAAGCGGGCGUUUGCCAUGAAUACAUUAGCAUGGAAUAAUAGAAUAGGACCUGGUCCUGUUUUGUUGGUUUGUGAGUAUCAGGUAAUGAUUAAGAGGGACGGUUGGGGGCAUUUGUAUUCCGGCGUCAGAGGUGAAAUUCUUGGAUUGCCGGAAGACAAACAGCUGCGAAAGCGUCUGCCAAGGACGUUUUCAUUG
rnacentral:rRNA from 1 species